ensembl:lncRNA
GAUUCCCUGGUAGCUCAGAGGUUAAAGCGUCUGCCUGGAAUGCGGGAGACCUGGGUUCUAUCCCUGGGUCGGGAAGAUCCACUAGAGAAGGAAAUGGCAACCCACUCCAGUACUACUGCCUGGAAAAUCCCAUGCAGAGAGGGAGAAACCUGGUAGGCUACAGUCCAUGGGGUCGCAAAGAGUCAUACACUACUGAGCGACUUCACUUACUUACUUAAAGGUCAGGAGACCGUUAGCCUGGUGGUUAAAGGUCUUCCUGCUCCACUGAUGAUUAGCCUAGCGGUGGUCCUCUUGGCAGAGUGCAGCAAGACGUGGCCCUGGGUCUUAUUCCGUGGCCCUCCAGGCCCUUUGGCCUCAGCACCAUUGGGUGAGCUGGGGGCCCAGGACAGGCUGAGGACCCAGAACAGGCUGAGGAUUGUGUCUCACAGAACUCUGGAGCCCCCGUGAAGGCCGGAGCCUCCCUUACCACCACCCACCGGCCAGGUCCAGACCUGGAAGCAGCCAGGAACCUCACCCCCUUCCACGCUCUGAUCCCUGGAGUCCUCAGCAGCUGGAGGAUAUUACAGGAUCAUUAAGGAGACAGGAUUCAAGACCAUCCCCAUGGAAAAGAAAUGCAAAAAAACAAAAUGGCUGUCUGGGGAGGCCUUACAAAUAGCUGUGAAAAGAAGAGAAGCGAAAAGCAAAGGAGAAAAGGAAGGAUAUAAGCAUCUGAGUGCAGAGUUCCAAAGAAUAGCA